AUUGAACGCUGGCGGCAGGCCUAACACAUGCAAGUCGAGCGGAUGAAGGGAGCUUGCUCCUGGAUUCAGCGGCGGACGGGUGAGUAAUGGCUAGGAAUCUGCCUGGUAGUGGGGGAUAACGUCCGGAAACGGGCGCUAAUACCGCAUACGUCCUGAGGGAGAAAGUGGGGGAUCUUCGGACCUCACGCUAUCAGAUGAGCCUAGGUCGGAUUAGCUAGUUGGUGGGGUAAAGGCCUACCAAGGCGACGAUCCGUAACUGGUCUGAGAGGAUGAUCAGUCACACUGGAACUGAGACACGGUCCAGACUCCUACGGGAGGCAGCAGUGGGGAAUAUUGGACAAUGGGCGAAAGCCUGAUCCAGCCAUGCCGCGUGUGUGAAGAAGGUCUUCGGAUUGUAAAGCACUUUAAGUUGGGAGGAAGGGCAGUAAGUUAAUACCUUGCUGUUUUGACGUUACCAACAGAAUAAGCACCGGCUAACUUCGUG
rnacentral:rRNA from 1 species